UCCCUAGUAGCUCAGAUGGUAAAGCAUCUGCCUGCAAUGCAGGAGACCCAGGUUCGAUCCCUGGGUCAGGAA
rnacentral:tRNA from 1 species